UCCAAGUCACGUGUCCAGGUCACGUGGCCUGCCAGACAGCGAAGGCGGCUGGCAAUCAUUAACUAAUGCUUUCUCCCAGGGAGAAAAAUGCUGGCUUUAAGGAGGCCCGGACGUCAGAAUUGCAAUAGAAGGACUCAAUCCCGGGAAGAUUCCUACCUCCAGACUAACACUUGGAAGAUAAAGAAUGAGGGAGCUGACAACCUUGUUGCAGAAUUCUGCCCAGCACUGACAGCCUCAGCGCCCACCCUCUGCUUCUCAGGAUGACCCUGGGAGCACCUGAGUUUUUUUUUGCUCGGUGAGGAAACCCUUGGGUUUCAGAGUAUCUCCUGGUGGCACACUGGGAAAGACUUUUAAAGCUGGAAUUAAAAAACCAAACCAAACCAAACCAAACCAAACCAAACUGAAACAAAAAGAAAAACAAACCAUUCAUCUGAUCCAUGGUGCUGUUGCCUGGCUAGGGCAAGCCUGCGUGCGGGGCGGGGCGGGGUGGAGUGAAGGGGAAUCAGAGGAGGUCAGACCUUCAGUU
rnacentral:lncRNA from 1 species